rnacentral:rRNA from 1 species
CUUGCUUUUACAAGGCGAAACCGCGAAUGGCUCAUUAAAUCAGUUAUGGUUCACUAGAUCGUAAAUUUUACACGGAUAACUGUGGUAAUUCUAGAGCUAAUACGUGCAACCAGCUCGCUUCCUUGUGGAGCGAGCGCAGUUAUUAGAACAAGACCAAUCCGGCCUUCGGGUCGGUACAAUUGGUGACUCUGAAUAACCGAAGCGGAGCGCAUGGUCUCGUACCGGCGCCAGAUCUUUCAAGUGUCUGACUUAUCAGCUUGUUGUUAGGUUAUGUUCCUAACAAGGCUUCAACGGGUAACGGGGUAUCAGGGUCCGAUACCGGAGAGGGAGCCUGAGAAACGGCUACCACAUCCAAGGAAGGCAGCAGGCGCGCAAAUUACCCACUCCUAGCACAGGGAGGUAGUGACGAAAAAUAACGAUGCGGGGUCUUAUAGAUUCCCGUAAUCGGAAUGGGUACACUUUAAAUCCUUUAACGAGGAUCUAUUGGAGGGCAAGUCUGGUGCCAGCAGCCGCGGUAAUUCCAGCUCCAAUAGCGUAUAUUAAAGUUGCUGCGGUUAAAAAGCUCGUAGUUGGAUCUGGGCUUCUGAAUGGAUGGUGCGCUUUUCGGUGCUACUGUCCGUUUGGUGCCACAAGCCGGCCAUGUAGUGCAUGCCCUUCAUUGGGUGUGCAUUGCGACCGGAACGUUUACUUUGAAAAAAUUAGAGUGCUCAAAGCAGGCGUACGGCCUUGCAUAAUGGUGCAUGGAAUAAUGGAAUAGGACCUCGGUUCUAUUUUGUUGGUUUUCGGAACUCGAGGUAAUGAUUAAUAGGAACAGACGGGGGCAUUCGUAUUGCGGCGUUAGAGGUGAAAUUC